rnacentral:rRNA from 1 species
AACGAACGCUGGCGGCAGGCUUAACACAUGCAAGUCGAACGCCCGGCCAGGGGGGUGGCUCCUGGGUGAGUAACGCGUGGAUAUUUGCCUUUUGGUUCGGAAUAACCCCGGGAAACUGGGGCUACUACCGGAUGGUUCCUAUGGGAUAAAGAAUUAUCGUGAAAAGAGGAGUCCGCGUACGAUUAGCUAGUUGGCGAGGUAAUGUCUCACCAAGGCGACGAUCGUUAGCUGGUCUGAGAGGACGAUCAGCCACACUGAAACUAAGACACGGCCCAGACUCCUACGCGAAGCAGCAGUGGGGAAUAGUGGACAAUGGCGGCAACCCUGAUCCAGCCAUGCCGCGAGAGUGAUGAAAGCCUGCAGGUUGUAAAGCGCUUUUGGCGGGGCCGAUGAUGACGGUACCCGCAGAAAAAGCCCCGGCUAACUUCGUG